AGUGAACGCUGGCGGUAGGCCUAAUACAUGCAAGUCGAACGGCAGCACAGUAAGAGCUUGCUCUUACGGGUGGCGAGUGGCGGACGGGUGAGGAAUACAUCGGAAUCUACUUUUUCGUGGGGGAUAACGUAGGGAAACUUACGCUAAUACCGCAUACGACCUACGGGUGAAAGCAGGGGAUCUUCGGACCUUGCGCGAUUGAAUGAGCCGAUGUCGGAUUAGCUAGUUGGCGAGGUAAAGGCCCACCAAGGCGACGAUCCGUAGCUGGUCUGAGGGGAUGAUCAGCCACACUGGAACUGAGACACGGUCCAGACUCCUACGGGAGGCAGCAGUGGGGAAUAUUGGACAAUGGGCGCAAGCCUGAUCCAGCCAUACCGCGUGGGUGAAGAAGGCCUUCGGGUUGUAAAGCCCUUUUGUUGGGAAAGAAAAGCAGCAGGUUAAUACCCCGCUGUUCUGACGGUACCCAAAGAAUAAGCACCGGCUAACUUCGUG
rnacentral:rRNA from 1 species